UUAGGCAUGUGAUAUUGGUGGCGCUCAAUCAGAUGACCAUGCCUGUGAUGCUGGCGUUGCCAUCAGAUUGAGCCGCGCCAAUAUCACAUCCUUACUU
rfam:Physcomitrella patens subsp. patens PHYPAscaffold_71 genomic scaffold, whole genome shotgun sequence.